AUUGAACGCUGGCGGCAUGCCUUACACAUGCAAGUCGAACGGCAGCACGGGUGCUUGCACCUGGUGGCGAGUGGCGAACGGGUGAGUAAUACAUCUGAACAUGUCCUGUAGUGGGGGAUAGCCCGGCGAAAGCCGGAUUAAUACCGCAUACGAACUACGGAUAACGGCGGGUGACCUUCUGACCGCGCGCUAUAGGGUUGGCCGAUGGCUGAUUAGCUAGUUGGUGGGGUAACGGCCUACCAAGGCGACGAUCAGUAGCUGGUCUGAGAGGACGACCAGCCACACUGGGACUGAGACACGGCCCAGACUCCUACGGGAGGCAGCAGUGGGGAAUUUUGGACAAUGGGCGAAAGCCUGAUGCAGCAAUGCCGCGUGUGUGAAGAAGGUCUUCGGGUCGUAAAGCUCUUUUGUUAGGAAAGAAAAACUUGGCAAGAAACCGGUCGCGGGAUGACGGUACCUAAACAAUAAGCCACGGCUAACUACGUG
rnacentral:rRNA from 1 species